GACGAACGCUGGCGGCGUGGAUUAGGCAUGCAAGUCGAACGGUAUCAUCCUUUCGGGGGUGAGAGAGUGGCGAACUGGUGAGUAACACGUAGGUUAUCUACCCUCAAGACGGGGACAACCCAGGGAAACUUGGGCUAAUACCGGAUGUGAGCAACUUUUAGUUGUUUGAAAGGUGGCGUAAGCUGUCGCUUGGGGAUGAGCCCGCGUCCUAUUAGUUAGUUGGUGAGGUAACGGCUCACCUAGGCAAUGAUAGGUAGGCGGCCUUAACGGGUGGUCGCCCACACUGGGAUUGAGAUACGGCCCAGACUCCUACGGGAGGCAGCAGUCGAGAAUAGUCUACAAUGGUCGGAAGACUGAUAGUGCGACGCCGCGUGAACGAUGAAUCCUUCGGGUGUAAGUCUUUAUAUGUGAGCAGUGCUUCUUAUAUUAACAGUAUGGGGAGAGAGAUAUUAGCAUAUGAAUAAGCAACGGCUAACUCCGUGCCAGCAGCCGCGGUAAACUCGUCU
rnacentral:rRNA from 1 species